UACGAACUGUGCAAACGUUAUUCGGAAUCACUGGGCUUAAAGGGUGCGUAGGCGGCUAGAUAAGUAGGGUGUGAAAGCCCCCGGCUCAACCGGGGAAUUGCGCCCUAAACUGUCUAGCUGGAGUGAGAUAGGGGUGUACGGAACUUCCAGUGGAGCGGUGAAAUGUGUUGAUAUUGGAAGGAACGCCGGAGGCGAAAGCGGUACACUGGGUCUCAACUGACGCUGAGGCACGAAAGCCAGGGGAGCAAACGGG
rnacentral:rRNA from 1 species